rnacentral:lncRNA from 1 species
UUUGGUUUAUUUUUAGGCGUUAUCUUCAUGUAGGGCAAAAAUCACGUGCUUACAGCUGGCCCUCUUUGCUCGGAAACACGAAGAGUUUUCGGGCAAAGAUAAAAUAAGCACUGUUAGGGAUUUUUUCCCUUUUGAAACUCCAUGAGAAUUAUUUUUUGAAAAACUGUCUGACCGAUCCUUGCUUCAAAGAUGUUAGGGAUUUUUGCCCUUUUGAAACUCCAUGAGAAUUAUUUUUUGAAAAACUGUCUGACCGUCCUUGCUUCAAAGGUUGCUUGCAUAUCCUUAGCUAUAAAGGAAUCAGGUCACGUGUAGUUCAGAAGUUUUGGUAGCUGGGACUGCCGAGAAGCUGUGAUUUCACUGAUGUUGCUGAUGUUUCUGCUUACUGAGCUCCUUAUUACACAAAAAAGGAAAAUCGAAAGCUAAGCUAGCUAAUCCUAUCAAUUACGAGUUACAAGAUUCCUAUCUAAAAAUCUCUUGAAGCUUGAUCUUGAGUCUUAGCUGGUUCUAGUUGUACACUUCGAUCUGAAUCUUGAUGCUCGUCGGCAGUUACCGCUGGUGCAUUCUUCAGCUUUGGAUCAUGGCGAGGCAUGUCAAGCUUGUGACUUCAAUCAUAUCUUGAGCAGUUCGCGUCCUUCUCCACUUCAACAUUUUAGGUUCACUUCUUUUGUUCUUUUCCCUUUUCUUUAUUCUGGAUUGGGACUCAUUAUUUCGGUCAUGUCGUACCUUUUGUCUUGCAGUCAAACCUGUUUAAAAGUACCAAAACAAACAAAUGAAUGAAAUUUUCUGCCCCAGUUUUACUAGGAAAAUUUCGUGAGUCAGUUGUGACACAUACGACAAUCAGACUAGAAAAGGCUCUUCAGUUUUGGCCAAAAGUUUCUGGGUUUUUAAAUCGGAUUUUGGAAAAUUAAAACUCCACGAUUUUUUGGCCUUGGGAGAUCCUCGGGUUUUUGGCCGGUAUUUUUAACCGGAUUUUGGAAAAUUAAAACUCCACAGUUAUUUGGCCUUGGGAGAUCCUCGGGUUUUUGGCCGGUAUUUUUGGAAUGAAAAAGCUCCACAGUUUUUUGGCAGGGAGAUCCUCGGGUUUUUGGCCUGGAUUUGGAAAAGAAAAAGCUCCGCGAUUUUUUUGCUCGGGAGAUCCUCGAUUUUUGGCCGGGAUUUGGAAAAGAAAAAGCUCCACUGUUUUUCUUUUCUUUUCUUUUCUUUUCUUCUUUUCUUUUCUUUUUCACUUUCUU